CGAGGGUGUCGGAACCGUUCAAAAGCCUCUUUGCAUAUUCGCACCGCGCGCGCGCGCGCGGUUCUGCGUUCAAAGCGUUCUCCAUUAUUCGCCACGCGAAUUGCAUCCAAAAGAAUUUGCCAAUUCUGAACGGUGCGAUGUUCAUUGAAAGAUCUGCACUUCGGUUCUCUUGAUUGUUUGUACUGAAUAUUAAAACUGGUUUAUUAUCACUAAAGGAUGAAUAUCAAAACGGAAAUUGCUGGGAUUCAAUGAGUCGGUUGAAUGGAAAUAAUUUAACAAAUUCUUAUCGAGUUUACAACGGGUUCCUGAACUCUGGGUUCAAAUCUCUCGACUACGAUGUGUCAUCGAUCAAACGACGUAAACUGGAUCUUUGCAAACGGAUAUUCUCGCCUCUUGCAGAAUCCUCAAUCUGGGACCAAGGGGAACGCCCAUCUUUUGGAGUCUCUCUUCACUCAAUAAAUCCUUCAAGCGACAACCAACUGAACUGUUGUUCAAUCAACGGAGUCUAACGAAGUAAAUACCUCGUAGCCAAGUUCCCUCAGAAAAAGUCGUAUGAGCGGUGGUUCAGUGCCAAAGAACUUGGUCAACUUUUUAACUCUCGAGGGAUUCGAAAGUGCGGGAAGCUCCGAAUCUUUGAUCAACGGUUGAGAUUGCGAUCUCACCAUUGCCAUGCUCGUUUGGGUUCUCAGAGCUGCUAUUUCCCCUCGGAUAUUCUCCAUUUCCUGUGGAAUUAAUUACAGUCAUGAUUCCCAGGAGUUUUCAUCAUUACCGAGGAAACGAAGCACGAAGCCAGACGCGAGGUGUCAUUUAGGAAACGAAUAAAAAAUCGAAUAACCUGAAUCAUCAGAUGCUGAGUCCGCAUUUCCGAGGAGAGAUGAGCCACUGAUCUAGCGAGUGUUACCACGUGAGAUUCUAGUCGUUGAAAACGUUUGUUGAUACUCUGUAAAAGAAAUAAAUGAUCGAUGACAA
rnacentral:lncRNA from 1 species